rnacentral:tRNA from 1 species
AGCUCAGUUCGGUAGAGCACCUCGUUUACACACGCGCCACGARAAGGUCUA